UGCAGAAAAGGCCUGUCUUGGUUUGAAUUUUUUUUUAAAAAAGAGUUGAAUUGCAAAAGUUAAUUUUGAAGUCCAGAAUUGAGAAUGGUCCCACAUCGAAAUUUAUAGCUAAACCCUAACAUUUGGGGUUCUAUAAAUAGAACCCCAUUUUCUUCAUUCACAGACGGUUUUUUUGAAAACCACAUUGGGUUUUUACACCUACAAUGGGUUCUUACACCCUCAAGAGUUUGAACACUCAGAAACUCGGCUAAGCCUUGAGUUUCAAGGAAGUUAUCACUCACAAUUAAUUUUUAGGUCUCGUUUUCGUUCGUUGGAAGCUAGUUUGGGUGAAAGGUUGUUUGUCGACUCCGAUCGCCCCCAUCGCUGCUCAUCAAAAAGUUGGUUUGGAGAAAGGAGACCUUAUUUCAUCAAAGUGAACACAAGUUCAAGUGAAGAAGACUUGAGGAAAAGAUUUUUGACGAAACGGGAAAUGAGUUUGGAAAGGCGUAAAGAGCUUGAAAGGUACUGACGAUAGGUUUGCCGAUCCGUCUGUCUAGGAUAUCUUUUCCGCCAUUUGGAGCGCUCUUUUAUUCAGAGCCAUCUUUUGGUACAGUCUGUCACUUCUAUAUGUGUAUAUUCUCGUUCAUGGGUACGGCGGGGCCCUGUCCUGCCAUAUGAUUCUGUUGGUCCAUUUAGAGGUCUGUAGACAUGUUUGUGGGUUGGGAUCUUUCUGUACAGCUGUGUGUAUAUAUUGUGUUUGAGCGAUCCCAUUCGCCGCGAC